rnacentral:rRNA from 1 species
UGGGGAAUAUUGCGCAAUGGGCGAAAGCCUGACGCAGCGACGCCGCGUGAGGGAUGAAGGUCUUCGGAUCGUAAACCUCUGUCAGAAGGGAAGAAACCGGAGCGUGCUAAUCAGCGCUCCAUUGACGGUACCUUCAAAGGAAGCACCGGCUAACUCCGUGCCAGCAGCCGCGGUAAUACGGAGGGUGCAAGCGUUAAUCGGAAUCACUGGGCGCAAAGCGCACGUAGGCUGUUGCGUAAGUCAGGGGUGAAAUCCCACGGCUCAACCGUGGAACUGCCCUUGAUACUGCGUGACUAGAAUCCGGGAGAGGGUGGCGGAAUUCCUGGUGUAGGAGUGAAAUCCGUAGAUAUCAGGAGGAACAUCAGUGGCGAAGGCGGCCAC